UUUCCGUAGGUGAACCUGCGGAAGGAUCAUUAUUGGAUUUUGAAACUUCAGGCUGCUGCUGGCUCUCCUCGGAGGGCAUGUGCACGCUUGUUGUCCAUUAUUUCUCCCACUGUGCACAAAUUGUAGACCUUUCAGUAGGCCUAUGUUGUUUUUCACAAUCUCUGAAUGUAAUAGAAUGGUUUUGAAUCUUGGGAAAUACAAUACAACUUUCAGCAACGGAUCUCUUGGCUCUCGCAUCGAUGAGAACGCAGC
rnacentral:misc_RNA from 1 species